rnacentral:rRNA from 1 species
CCUACGGGCGGCUGCAGUGGGGAAUAUUGCACAAUGGGCGCAAGCCUGAUGCAGCCAUGCCGCGUGUGUGAAGAAGGCCUUCGGGUUGUAAAGCACUUUCAGCGGGGAGGAAGGCGUUAAGGUUAAUAACCUUGUCGAUUGACGUUACCCGCAGAAGAAGCACCGGCUAACUCCGUGCCAGCAGCCGCGGUCAUACGGAGGGUGCAAGCGUUAAUCGGAAUUACUGGGCGUAAAGCGCACGCAGGCGGUCUGUCAAGUCGGAUGUGAAAUCCCCGGGCUCAACCUGGGAACUGCAUUCGAAACUGGCAGGCUAGAGUCUUGUAGAGGUGGGUAGAAUUCCAGGUGUAGCGGUGAAAUGCGUAGAGAUCUGGAGGAAUACCGGUGGCGAAGGCGGCCCCCUGGACAAAGACUGACGCUCAGGUGCGAAAGCGUGGGGAGCAAACAGGAUUAGAUACCCGUGUAGUC